GAUUAUUUAUCUUUUAGGAAAGUCAAUGUUUUGAAAACAUUUAAAAAGAGUUCGAAUCUCUUAAUAAUCA
rnacentral:tRNA from 1 species